rnacentral:rRNA from 1 species
GACGAACGCUGGCGGCGUGCUUAACACAUGCAAGUCGAACGGAAAGGCCCUGCUUUUGUGGGGUGCUCGAGUGGCGAACGGGUGAGUAACACGUGAGUAACCUGCCCUUGACUUUGGGAUAACUUCAGGAAACUGGGGCUACUACCGGAUAGGAGCUCCUGCUGCAUGGUGGGGGUUGGAAAGUUUCGGCGGUUGGGGAUGGACUCGCGGCUUAUCAGCUUGUUGGUGGGGUAGUGGCUUACCAAGGCUUUGACGGGUAGCCGGCCUGAGAGGGUGACCGGCCACAUUGGGACUGAGAUACGGCCCAGACUCCUACGGGAGGCAGCAGUGGGGAAUAUUGCACAAUGGGCGGAAGCCUGAUGCAGCAACGCCGCGGGCGGGAUGACGGCCUUCGGGGUGUAAACCGCUUUCGCCUGUGACGAAGCGUGAGUGACGGUAAUGGGUAAAGAAGCACCGGCUAACUACGUG